AUUGAACGCUGGCGGCAGGCCUAACACAUGCAAGUCGAACGAGUGGCGGACGGGUGAGUAAUGUCCGGGAAACUGCCUGAUGGAGGGGGAUAACUACUGGAAACGGUAGCUAAUACCGCAUACCAUCGGAUGUGCCCAGAUGGGAUUAGCUAGUAGGUGGGGUAAAGGCUCACCUAGGCGACGGUCCCUAGCUGGUCUGAGAGGAUGAACAGCGACACUGGAAAGGAGACACGGUCCAGAAUCCUACGGGGGGCAGCAGGGGGGGAGAUUGCACAGUGGGCGCAAGCAUGAUGCAGCCAUGCCGCGUGUAUGAAGAAAGCCUUCGGGUUGUAAAGUACUUUCAGCGGGGAGGCGUUACCCGCAGAAGAAGCACCGGCUAACUCCGUGCCAGCCGCCGCGGUAAUUC
rnacentral:rRNA from 1 species